CUCUGACUCUCAGCGGUCCUCAAGCAGUUCACAGUUCCGAUAGGGUGCCCGACAUUGGUUACGUUACGCCGUCGCCGGUAGGGCUGAAGAGGAAAUCUAGAAGGGCUGAAGCACAGCUUCGCACUUAGCUGCACCCAGCGCCAUUAUGCAACACGGCCAGGGAACAUUAAAGCGCUUCCAGAACAACUUCUUUCCUUAGCUUUUUGGGGCAUGCGGCACGUUUUGUGUUUCUUGGCCACGUAAACACUUUAGCAAAUAGCUCACAGAGCCAGAAAGAUUAGACAAACCCACGGGACGAGUAACGAAGCUACCAUCGGGAUAACGAACAACCGGUAGCAGUAACAGAACACCGCUGCUUACGCAUUUUAUUGCCAAGAGCCAAGAGACCAAUACAACAUCAGAAACUUUAAGGCAAGCUACCUGUCAUGGUUACUGUGUGAGCUCCAGAAAGGUCUGUAGGACUGUUGGUAAUACAUAAUUUGGGUAUAAAACUUUCUGACAAGCUUCUGUGCUGUCAUAUAUUGUGGUGCUUCUGCUAGUGAGCAGGGCAACUAUUGCUUUGCCUUCCUGCAAAGGAGUCUUAGAGGUAAAAUAUAUAAAAGGGCUGCAAAGAGAACAAUGGAGAAUCAACUUUGCGAUAUGAACAGGAACUUCGUAGCAGCUGCAGUGAAAUGACCAAACAUGUUUUGUUGAAUGUAAAUGUCAGUGACAUCUGAAUUUAGUUCUGAAAAAUGAUAAGGUGACUAAGUCACACACUCACUUUAGUUAUCUUUCAUUCUGCAUGUACUUUUUACUGGAGUGUUAGUGUAAAAUAGUUCAGUUAUUCCAGCAAUAUGAUUAAAGUUGCUGUCUAUUGAGAAGAAAUAAUUUUCACAUUCAUUAUGAAAAUAGCGUGUUUCUGUUCUAAUUUUGACAAGCAGCAUGUAAAAUAAAUUGAGAGCAGUAUAAAUAUAUAUUGCAACCUAACUGAAACUGCAGUGAGCAUUGAACAUGGGAGCUUCCUAUGGCUUCCACUCAUCCCUCCUGGCCAUGCCUGCAGAGAUUUUUAUGUCUUUUGGGACAAAGCCCAAGGGUCUCCUACUGGGAUCAGGGCUUGAUUCACAGGAUCUCUUGUGAUUUCACUAGAUACCUGGCAUUAUUUGAACUCAGAUUUUCCUUUUUGUAAUUCUUGUGGGUUAUGAAAUGUCCUUGUUUCAGCUGAGGUAGAGUUAAUUUUCUUUCUAGUAGCUGGUAUAGAUGCCCACGCUCCCAAGAGUGGGGCCACCGAGGAACAUCAAACCAACCAGGAGGUGGAUCAGGCUGCUAAGAUUGAAGUGGCCCAGGUGGAUCUAGACUGGCAACACAAGGGUGAAUUAUAUAUAGCUUGCUGGGCCCAUGACACCUCAGGCCAUCAGGGAAGAGAUGCAACAUAUAGAUGGGCACGUGAUUGAGGGGUGGACUUGACCGUGAACGCUAUCUCACAGGUUAUCCAUGACUGUGAAACAUGCACUGCAAUCAAGCAAGCCAAGCGGUUAAAGCCUCUGUGGUAUGGAGGACAAUGGCUGAAAUAUAAAUAUGGGGAGGCCUGGCAAAUUGAUUACAUCACACUCCCACAAACCCGCCAAGGCAAGCACUAUGUACUUACAGUGGUGGAAGCAACCACCGGAUGGCUGGAAACAUAUCCCAUGCCCCAUGCCACCACCUGGAACACUAUCCAGGGCCUUGAAAAGCAAGUCCUGUGGUGACAUGGCACCCCAGAAAGAAUUGAGUCAGACAACAGGCUUUACUUCUGAAACAACCUCACAGAUAGCUGGGCCAAAGAGCGCAGCAUUGAGUGGGUGUAUCACAUCCCCUGUUGUGCACCAGCCUCUGGGAAAAUCAAUCGAUACAAUGGACCGCUAAAGACUACACUGAGAGCAAUGGGUGGUGGGACCCUCAAACAUUGGGUUACACAUCUAACAAAGACCACCUGGAUAGUUAACUCUAGGGGAUCUACCAAUCAAGCUGGCCCUGCCCAAUCACAACUUCCACGUACUGCAGAAGGAGAUCAAGUCCCCGUAGUGCACAUGCAGAACCUGUUAGGGAAGACAGUCUGGGUCAGCUCUGCCUCAGGCAAAGGCAAAGCCAUCCAUGGGAUUGCUUUUGCUCAAGGACCUGGUGCACUCAGUGGGUGAUGCAGAAGGAUGGGGAAGUCUGAUGUGUAGCUCAGGGGGAUUUGAUUUUGAGUGAGAAUAGCCAAUGAUUUAAAUUGUACGAUGUUAAUUGCUACAGAAUACUGCAUGUCAUCACUAUUAUGCUUGAUAUGUGCCAUAUCAACAGUAUUACAGUAAGAAUCACCCACAUUAAUGAAGACUGAACUUUGAUGAAACCGAGCAAAGUGCCGCGAUGAGGGAACUAGAACUGACUUCAGCAACCGGUGCCCGGCAACUUCCUUGAAAUUGACAUUUCCAACCUGCAGACCAUGGGCAUGGGCCGCCAACAGAUACACCAGCCGCGAGCUCUGGAUGUAGCAUGCAACAAUCCAACAGCACACACCAUCGCUCCCGCCCUGAGAGACUGUAAUGGCAGAUGGAGCCCAAAGUCAUGAACUAAAGGAACUCAACGGACAUUUUAGAGGGAUGGCCCGUAGAGUAAGGGAAUGAUAUCUGUGUGUACAUAUCAAAAGACAGGAAAAGUGAUGGUGAUUAAUUGGCAUGUAUUGGGAAAUAUAGUACCUGGGCAUGACAUAGAUGGUAUGGAAUAAGGGGUGGAUAAUGUCCUGGUUUUGGCUGGGAUAGAGGUAAUUUUCUUCCUAGUAGCUGGUAUAGUGCUGUGUUUUGGAUUUAGGAUGAGAACAGUGUCGAUAACACACUGAUAUUUUAGUUGUUGGCAAGCAGUCAAGGGCUUUUCAGCUUCUCAUACUGGCCUGCCCACGAGGAGGUUGGGGGCACCCAAGAAACUAGGAGGGGAUGCAGCCAGGACAGCUGACCCAAACUGGCCAAAGGGAUAUUCCGUACCGUAUGAUGUCAUGCUCAGCAUAUAACUUGGGGGUGGGCCAGGAGGUGACACCGCUCAAGAACUAACUGAGCAUUGGUUUCAGGUGGUGAACAACUGUGCUGUGCAUCACUUAUUUUGUAUAUAUCAUCAUCAUCAUCAUCAUCAUCAUCAUCAUCAUCAUCUUUCUUUUCUGUCCUAUUAAAGUGUCUUUAUCUUAA